CAGCAGCCGCGGUAAUACGUAGGGUGCGAGCGUUAAUCGGAAUUACUGGGCGUAAAGCGAGCGCAGACGGUUACUUAAGCAGGAUGUGAAAUCCCCGGGCUCAACCUGGGAACUGCGUUCUGAACUGGGUGACUAGAGUGUGUCAGAGGGAGGUAGAAUUCCACGUGUAGCAGUGAAAUGCGUAGAGAUGUGGAGGAAUACCGAUGGCGAAGGCAGCCUCCUGGGACAACACUGACGUUCAUGCUCGAAAGCGUGGGUAGCAAACAGGAUUAGAUACCCCAGUAGUCCCUGUCUCUUAUAC
rnacentral:rRNA from 1 species